GCUGCUGCCCCCGCCUCGCAGGCUGCUGGGUUUGGUCUCGGGUGGCUUUUUUUGUGUGUGUGUGUUUUUCUUUUUGUUAUUAUUUUUCUCGUCCGUCUCGCUCUCGCUCCAGCCAAGGUGAAUGGCCCGCGGUGGGUGUAGCUGGCCUCAGCGGCUCCGCAAGGGGAAAAUGCUGGCGGUGGGGGUGCUGGCCGGCCUCUCGGUGCUCAGCCUCCUCACCUACGGCUACCUGUCCUGGGACAGCCUCGGACGCGGCCACGGAGAGGCGCCGGCAGCGCUGGGAGAAGAGCCGGGGGUCGGCACCCCCAGCUCGCAGCCGCACAUCGUCUUCAUCCUGGCUGACGAUCAGGGCUUCAGAGAUGUAGGGUACCACGGCUCGGAGAUCAGGACGCCCACUCUGGACAAGCUAGCUGCUGAAGGGGUUAAACUGGAGAACUAUUAUGUUCAGCCUAUGUGCACACCAUCCAGAAGCCAGUUUAUCACUGGAAAGUACCAGAUACACACCGGCCUUCAGCACUCCAUUAUACGGCCAACCCAGCCCAACUGCCUACCUCUGGAUAACGUCACGCUACCUCAGAAGCUGAAGGAGGUUGGUUAUUCAACACACAUGGUUGGCAAAUGGCACUUGGGGUUUUAUCGCAGAGAAUGCAUGCCCACACAGAGAGGAUUUGACACUUUCUUUGGCUCACUCUUAGGCAGCGGUGACUACUACACUCACUUCAAAUGUGACAGCCCUGGAAUAUGUGGCUAUGACCUGUACGAGAAUGAUAACGCAGCUUGGGAUCACGACAAUGGCAUCUACUCCACACAGAUGUACACGCAAAAAGUACAACAAAUAUUAGCUUCUCACAAUCCCAGGAAACCUAUAUUCUUAUAUAUUGCUUACCAAGCUGUUCAUUCGCCUCUUCAGGCACCAGGAAAAUAUUUUGAACAUUAUCGAUCCAUAAAUAACAUAAACAGGCGAAGAUAUGCUGCGAUGCUAGCUUGUUUGGAUGAAGCCAUAAACAACGUAACCCUUGCUUUAAAGAAGUAUGGUUACUAUGACAAUAGCAUUAUCAUAUAUUCUUCAGAUAACGGUGGGCAGCCAAUGGCUGGAGGAAGUAACUGGCCUCUCCGAGGGAGCAAAGGAACAUACUGGGAAGGAGGUAUCCGUGCUGUUGGGUUUGUCCAUAGCCCCCUUCUGAAAAACAAAGGGUCUGUGUGUAAGGAGCUUGUGCACAUCACAGACUGGUUCCCCACUUUGAUCACACUGGCCGAAGGACAGAUUGAUGAAGAUAUCCAGCUAGAUGGCUAUGAUAUAUGGGAAACCAUUAGUGAAGGCAGACGUUCUCCACGGGUAGACAUCUUACACAACAUUGACCCAAUUUACACCAAAGCCAAAAAUGGGUCUUGGGCAGCUGGCUAUGGGAUCUGGAACACUGCAAUUCAAUCUGCCAUCAGAGUGAAUCAUUGGAAACUACUGACAGGAAAUCCAGGCUAUAGUGACUGGGUUCCUCCGCAGGCCUUUAGCAACAUGGGCCCCAACCGCUGGCAUAAUGAACGUGUUUCUUGGUCAGCUGGCAAAACUGUGUGGCUUUUCAACAUAACUGCUGAUCCAUACGAACGAGUGGACCUCUCUGCAAAGUAUCCUGAUGUAGUGAAGCAGCUGUUGAGGAGGCUUUCACAGUUUAAUAAGACUGCAGUUCCUGUUCGGUACCCACCUAAGGACCCACGGAGUAACCCAAAGCUGAAUGGAGGAGUCUGGGGUCCAUGGUUUAAAGAGGAUGAAAAGAAGAAGAAGUCAGAUAAAAGUAAAGGUGCUAAUAAGCAAAAAAAGAACAAGAACAAGAAAAAAGCAAAUCGGAAAAAAGGACAAUCAUUACAUUGCCGAUCACGUCUUGCUGGUGGAUAGACUUUGAGCAUACUUGUUUUUGCCAAGCCUAAGACAGCUUGGCCCAACUUCCCUGAAUUCUGACAGAAUAUACCAGAAAUGCCUGCUCUGCACUAUGGAGGAAAGCUGUCAUGUUUUAAUUUGUUCUCAAAUUUCACUAGGAUGAGAUAUUUUGACACUCUGUAUCAAACAUACAUAAACAUCCAUGUGACAGACUUUCUCCUCUACAGGAAGAAUGGUGCUCUUCCAUCACAGCUACAUUCCAGAUAAGAACACAAUUACUCCUAGCUUCAGAAGGCCCAUUUUUGAUGGACAAAUGAUUGUUCCUUGCCUGAAUUAGUUAGAAUUUUUUGAGAGUCUGGAAUGGCAGAUGAUUCAUAGAGAGAAAGAAAAAACAAAGCUUGAAAACUUCUGUAGGUCUGAGAGUGUUAGCCACCAACCUGUGACAUUUUUUGAUAAAACAUAGCAGAAAUUGAAGCCAACAGUAUCUUUUUUGGGGUUGCUGGGGAGAGGAACACGAUAGUAGGAAAGCUGCUUUGAAUUAGACAGUGUCUCUCCUAGGUAAACCGAAAAUAUUUUUAAAUUUCCUAAAUGUGCUAACCUUUCCUCAUUUGUAGUAAAACCAGAAAGUUGUUAUCAGCACACAUGAAUAACUAGCACAUGCCAUGUAUAAUUUAUUAUAGGCAUAAGCAAAAGCACAUCACCAAAGUGAAUGUAAUAUUUAAACACUUUAAGAUAUCUAUAUUACAGUACAUGCAAGACGUAAUUUAUUUUACAGCACAAUACUUUCUUCUUUUCCAUUAAAACUUUAAUUAGUGGGUGAUGCAAGGGUUGUUUAUUUGUUUUUCUUUUGAUUUUUAAUUUUAUUUUCACUUGGUCAUUCAGAGUUUUAUUCAACAGAUCCACAUCCUCAGAGUACUGUAAAACAAGGAAAUGCUGUAGACACUGCUAGGAUGAGAGAGGAGAGUGAUUCAGGCAAAAUGAGAGUCUUUGAAUGCAAACAGUGCAAAGCAGAACAGUGGAUCAGUUCUUGCAUGAAAUAUAUGUGCCAAAAUGCCUUGUUAUUUCAGAGACAAGCUGGCAUGAAAAAUGAGUGAAUGAAUGGAACGGGGUAGCAAAGAAGAGAUUCAGAUUCCACUAAUGGAAAGUUUUGGAAUAGAAGGGAUUGAGAGACACUGCCAUAGUUUGCUUAAAAAUGAGACAGAGCAUUUUCAUUACUCCUGAAGGCUUUUAUUCAAGACAUACAAAAGCUGACAUUGAGAAGAUGGAAGCAGCAAUGCAACCAGAGUCCCAUUUCCACAUUCUGAAGUAAAGAGGCAAUCUUGCAUCAUGGAUGAAUUUAUUCCUUUACAGAUGGGUGGUAGUGGGUUUUCCAUUCUGUGUACUGCCAACUUUCUCCAAGAUUUAUGUCACCUAAUGACAAUGAGAGUACAUCUAGCUACAAGCAGCUUUCUGUAUAACCUGCUGAUCAGUGUUUUUCCUGUGGUACGACAGACUAAGCUCUCCUAUUGGAUCUUCUCUGAGUGCUUAUUGCACACAUGGUGGAACAAGUGCAGCAAGGGAUUGAGCAAGAGAGCUUCCCCGUGGGAAGAAAACAUGCCCUAAGACAGACCUUUCAGCGGCUUCAUCUCGGCUCUUUCCAACUUGGUGAAGACCUGGGGUGGCUGCAGCUGGCCCCCGUUUCUAGAGAUGGCAGCUGGGGGUCUCAACCAGAAGGUGCUUGGGAGGAAGCUGCUCCUGCAGAAGGCACAAAGACACACCUUGAACGACAAUCAGUGCUUGGAAAUGAAAGCAUGUGGGCUACAUUGAGUGAUUCUGCCAUACUGACCAGGUGAUGCUACUGGAGUUACUACCCGCCAAAAUCUUUAUUUAGGAAAGCAACAGCUCCAAUGAGGAAACAGAAGAGGUCCAAAAAAUAAUGUAGUGCUGACCUGACAUCUGUUGCCUCCAGCUCACUUUGGUCUGCUGGAUUUGAGGCCACUCAUGGCAGGAAGAGCAGCUGAGUGUCCCUGUUGCUGCACGCCUCCUGUUCCAAAUUAGUAUUUCUGCAGCAAUAUGUAAAAGCAUCGAGAUCUAUCAAUUACAAAACAAUUUCCUGGCAAGCUCCUAUUAAAAAGCCAUUACAGAAAGCUUAGCCUUGACUUUGAGCUGAAGCCCCCAAGUGGAGCUUUUUGGGAAGAAACUGCUCUUUCUUCCCAUGGGUAACUUUCCCCUUCUGCCACCUCAGAGUGCAUCUUCCCAGCACUGUCUUCAGUUAGUCAUGGGGAAAGCAUGGAUCAUUUUACUCCCAAAGGUGAAAAGGCAGAAGUGCACCCCUUUCAGACUCAGCAGUCACAGUACUUUAAUAUAGCCAGCUAAUGGAGUGCCAAACCAUUACAGUGAACUGCAAACCCAAAUAUCUUAUCCUGUGUGAUUUCUUACUGUUGAUCCUCUUGUCUGUUUUUACACCUCUCUUUGUUCCCAUAUAUUUGUGUGAUAUUCUGAUUAACCUCUCUCCACAUUUUUCCCACUGUCUUCAUAUAUUCAUAUUUCUAUCCACUUUCACAUUGAUCAUUUUUGUUCCUGACACCAAUAACUGUUUGACCUUCUUUCAAUUUCUCUUUACUUACUCCUUCUUCUUAAAAUAACAUUCUCUGUUCCCUGUCCUCUUCCUUUGUUCCGUCUGUGAUUCUCCAUUCCUAUUACAAAACUCAUUUACUGUCCUUUUUCUCAUUUCUCACUAUACAAGCAGUGUAACUCCAUCAGCCACAGUUCUGUUGCAGUGAUUUCCCCUUUCUAUCUGCUGUCUAGCAUCUUUCCCUUCCUCUCUCCCACGCAGCACUUUUCCUUUCUAUUUUGUUUCUAGUUCAGAAUCUCUCUGACUUUCCCACUGUACUCUUACCCACUGCCCUCUUCCUGCUGAUCAUUUUAGCAGAAAUGUUGAAAUUUGUUGUCUUAUUGCACAGAUCUCAGCUUCCUUCAUCCCCUCCGUGUUUGUUAUGUCAAACCCACUGCCACUCUCCAGGUCCGACCAGAGCUGGUUGUCAGGUGCUGUCCAUGCAAGCCUCUCUAGAGCACCACAAGGCAGAGUGACUUUCAUCAUGCUGCUAAGGAGACCAUUGCUUGCCAGUGAGUUCUGCCAAUCUGAGUUCACAUUUUGUAUCAACAAGAUUUGUAUACUUUAUUGUCAUUUCAUAGGCUUUAUUGUCAUAUGCACCUGUAACUCCAUCAAUGUUCACAGUCACUCACCCUGGGGCAGUAAAGCUUUGCCACAGAAAUACUUGAGAAGGACCAUGGCUGCCAUUCAAGACCAUCUGGUACUAAACAGUAUGUCUCUAAACCCAUGUUUACCCAGGUAUCAAUCGAGGCCGUUUUCUAUCUAGACCUCUGCUGUAAGUGGCCACUCAAUUUGUCCAUAAGAUAAAUGUACAGUAUUCCUAGCAGAGCUCAUAAUGAGUGUACAUGAAUGACCUUUCAAAAGCUCUCUGACUCCUUCAAAACACAAGCAGAGAGAAAGUCUGUAUUUGCAAGAUCAGAAAUAAAAUGAAAACCUCACUUUGACUGAAUAAAAAAGCCAUAUACAGGAAAGCCCUUGAUGAAUAGCAUACUUUUAACAAAAAUACCAUUUCCUUUGCCACAAUAAAUGUUGUUUCAGAUUCUGAAAUUAAGUGCUUGUUCCACUGAGCUGUAACAUUUUGUUAAGCUGCAGAGACGUUAGAGGAACAACUAUUCCGUUUCUUACAGACUUCAGCUAUUUACAAUUCUCUUUUAAUAUUUCUUUUUCUGGAGGAGAGAAACACGUUCUAGGAUUUUCUCUAAGCCUGUUUUGGUUCAUUAUGGAGGUCUGACUUUCUGCAUCCACUAAAGCAACCACUGAUGAACUACUUUUGCGGCCUUAGGGAAACCUGAACCUGGAGCCAGCUUUUAGAAUUCACCGGCAGGCCCAGGUCCUUGGCUGCCGUGGCAGAGGCUCUGCUCCUCUCAGAAAGUUUGGAGGAUUUAUGGAGGACUUAAGUAGCAGCUACAAAUCAUGGUUCUGUUUCAGCUCAAGAGUGAACUGCAUUUAAGGGAGCAUUGUUGUAACAAGAAGAAAACUUCCCAGCUCAAGUGUUUCCAAGCUAUUAAUCAUUUCCCAAGUAUCUGUCCCCCUGGAAAUUCUCCAAGUCCUUAUGAUACUGCUCUCAUAAACAAUUAUUUUCUUUCCUGAACUCCUGUAAUAAAAUUCAUACUGGAUGUUGCUCUUAGGA